rnacentral:rRNA from 1 species
UUUGCGGUUAAUGGGAUUGGGCCCGGCGUUUGAAUAAGGCUAAGUUGUUGAAGGUAAACNGCCCAACCAAAGGCGACGAAUCAAUAGGCNGCNUUGAGAGAAGUGAACGCCCACAUUGGGANUGAGAACACGCCCCAAAUUCNUACGGGGAGGCAGCAGUGGGGAAUAUUGCACAAUGGGGAAAAANCNUGAUGCAGCGACGCCGCGUGAGUGAAGAAGUAUUUCGGUAUGUAAAGCUCUAUCAGCAGGAAAGAUAAUGACGGUACCUGACUAAGAAGCCCCGGCUAACUACGUGCCAGCAGCCGCGGUAAUACGUAGGGGGCAAGCGUUAUCCGGAUUUACUGGGUGUAAAGGGUGCGUAGGUGGCGAGGCAAGUCUGAUGUGAAAGCCCGGGGCUCAACCCCCGGUAUUGCAUUGGAAACUGUUUUGCUAGAGUGCCGGAGAGGUAAGUGGAAUUCCUAGUGUAGCGGUGAAAUGCGUAGAUAUUAGGAGGAACACCAGUGGCGAAGGCGGCUUACUGGACGGUAACUGACACUGAGGCACGAAAGCGUGGGGAGCAAACA